AAGACUUUAUGUUAAAUAAACAACUAACCUUCAAAGUUAGCAUUAUAAGUUGUAAUCUUUUAAGUCUUA
rnacentral:tRNA from 1 species